rnacentral:rRNA from 1 species
UGGGGAAUAUUGGACAAUGGGCGAAAGCCUGAUCCAGCCAUGCCGCGUGUGUGAAGAAGGUCUUCGGAUUGUAAAGCACUUUAAGUUGGGAGGAAGGGCAGUAAAUUAAUACUUUGCUGUUUUGACGUUACCGACAGAAUAAGCACCGGCUAACUCUGUGCCAGCAGCCGCGGUAAUACAGAGGGUGCAAGCGUUAAUCGGAAUUACUGGGCGUAAAGCGCGCGUAGGUGGUUUGUUAAGUUGGAUGUGAAAGCCCCGGGCUCAACCUGGGAACUGCAUCCAAAACUGGCAAGCUAGAGUACGGUAGAGGGUGGUGGAAUUUCCUGUGUAGCGGUGAAAUGCGUAGAUAUAGGAAGGAACACCAGUGGCGAAGGCGACCGCCUGGACUGAUACUGACACUGAGGUGCGAAAGCGUGGGGAGCAAACA